CAGUAGCCACGGGAAUACGGAGGGUGCAAGCGUUAUCCGGAUUUACUGGGUUUAAAGGGUGCGUAGGCGGACUUGUAAGUCCGAGGUGAAAUCUCUGAGCUUAACUCGGAAACUGCCUUGGAUACUAUAGGUCUUGAAUCUCGUUGAGGUUUGCGGAAUAUGUCAUGUAGCGGUGAAAUGCUUAGAUAUGACAUAGAACACCUAUUGCGAAGGCAGCAGGCUAAACGAGUAUUGACGCUGAUGCACGAAAGCGUGGGGAUCAAACAGGAUUAGAUACCCGCGUAGUCCCUGUCUCUUAUAA
rnacentral:rRNA from 1 species